GACGCGUUGAUGCGUUACGCGUGACGGAAGACGAUGCGAUAGCCAAUGAAACUCUUGCUUGCCCGGAAAUAAUAAAUACAUAACUUCCGUCUCGCGUAAAAUGUUGAACUCAAUCCAACUUUUGUCGCGUGGUACAGAAACGGAAGUUGGAAGACACGUAAUUCUAGUAAAUUUUCAGAACUUGCGCGAGACAUUACCGUGUCUCUUGAAGUAUAUAAUUUUAUCAUUUUGUUUUUAUUAUUAUUUUCCAAAGAAGACAUUUGUGCAGUGUACUGUGAUCAAAUAAGAAAAGAUUUAUUAUAGAUUGCUAUAUAAAAUGGAUGUAAACGAAUAUGGUGCAAUGAUUGUAAUACCAAAGUGUACAGUGGAGAAGAACAUGAAUGUUAUAUAGAUAAUAACAAUAAAGAUGAUUACAUAGAAAGGUUAAUCGCAGAAGUCUUUGUAAGAGAGAGUUUGUGGAACUCUACAUUGCCUUACAAGCUUAGAGGUCCAGCAAAUAUGAAAACAUUAUGGUCUGAAGUUGAUGCUUGUUUAGAGACACCUACUGGAAGCAGCCAAAUAAAAUGGAAAAGUUUAAGAGAUCGUUUUGUUAAAGAACAUUAUUUACAAUCAGCUUAUAUACCAAGUGGCAGUGGAGCUGUGAAAAGAAAAAGCAGUUGGCCAUUAUAUGAUACUUUACGUUUUCUGAUUCCUACAGUAAAUUAUAGAAGAACUAAAAGUAAUCUUGAAAAUAUACACCCAGAUUAUACAAUUAUCACUUCCAAAUAAAUCUUGGUUUUUUACUACUAAUUCUGGUCUUACUAACA